AAUCAUACAUUGCAGGGAAAAUACUGCUUUAUAAAAGUGGUUUUUAUAGGGAAGGUUUAUCCAUGACACUUUGGGAAUGAUGCUGAUGCUGAUUCCUGUGAUUUCCCCAAAUGUGGGGAACUCAAUUGCAUAACUUAUGUUAAUGGAAAAUUGUACUCUUUUUCA
rnacentral:snRNA from 1 species